rnacentral:rRNA from 1 species
AGAGUUUGAUCCUGGCUCAGAUUGAACGCUGGCGGCAUGCCUUACACAUGCAAGUCGAACGGUAACAGGUCUUCGGAUGCUGACGAGUGGCGAACGGGUGAGUAAUACAUCGGAACGUGCCCGAUCGUGGGGGAUAACGAGGCGAAAGCUUUGCUAAUACCGCAUACGAUCUACGGAUGAAAGCGGGGGAUCUUCGGACCUCGCGCGGACGGAGCGGCCGAUGGCAGAUUAGGUAGUUGGUGGGAUAAAAGCUUACCAAGCCGACGAUCUGUAGCUGGUCUGAGAGGAUGAUCAGCCACACUGGGACUGAGACACGGCCCAGACUCCUACGGGAGGCAGCAGUGGGGAAUUUUGGACAAUGGGCGAAAGCCUGAUCCAGCCAUGCCGCGUGCAGGAUGAAGGCCUUCGGGUUGUAAACUGCUUUUGUACGGAACGAAAAGCCUCUUUCUAAUAAAGAGGGGUCAUGACGGUACCGUAAGAAUAAGCACCGGCUAACUACGUGCCAGCAGCCGCGGUAAU